AAAUGUGAAAUGUGUGUGUGAGAGGAAAAAUGUAAAGCCUGAGAGAGAGAAUAUGUAGAUCUCUUAGGGUGUGUUUGAUUUCUAGAAAGUUUAAUUUUGUAAGCCGUAUUUUUUAAUACUUUAGCAGUUCUUCGUUUGAUAACGGGGGAGUUUUACAAUAAAAUGAUACGCUGGUAUUCACUUGCCUUACAUUUAAGGUAAAAAAGUGGAUACCAUUAGUUCCAUGAAGAACUUUGAACUUGAGGCACCCAUUUUCUUUGAAGAUGAAGUUUCCAACUUGCACCUUCCCAACAUGCCUUUAAGGAGAGAUAUUGAUAGCCACAUUGCCAAAAAGAGAAUACCCAUCUAUCUUUGAAAACUUAAACUAGUGUUACAUUGGUUAGACACACUCUCUCACUCUCUCUCUCUCUAUAUAUAUAAAUAAAUAAAAAAUUAACAAUAGCUGGGUAGCUAUAAUGAAUAGUAAUAUAGAUAGA
rnacentral:lncRNA from 1 species